rnacentral:rRNA from 1 species
CCUACGGGAGGCAGCAGUGAGGAAUAUUGGUCAAUGGGCGCGAGCCUGAACCAGCCAAGUCGCGUGAGGGAAGACGGUCCUAUGGAUUGUAAACCUCUUUUGUCGGGGAGCAAAAGACGCCACGCGUGGCGUUCCGAGAGUACCCGAAGAAAAAGCAUCGGCUAACUCCGUGCCAGCAGCCGCGGUAAUACUGAGGAUGCGAGCGUUAUCCGGAUUUAUUGGGUUUAACGGGUGCGCAGGCGGAAGAUCAAGUCAGCGGUAAAAUUGAGAGGCUCAACCUCUUCGAGCCGUUGAAACUGUUGAACUAGAUUGCAGGAGAGGUAAGUGGAAUUCCUAGUGUAGCGGUGAAAUGCGUAGAUAUUAGGAGGAACACCAGUGGCGAAGGCGGCUUACUGGACUGUAAAUGACGCUGAGGCUCGAAAGCGUGGGGAGCAAACAAGAUUAGAUACCCCAGUAGUC